rnacentral:rRNA from 1 species
UACGUAGGUGGCGAGCGUUAUCCGGAUUUACUGGGCGUAAAGCGUGUGCAGACGGGUCAACAAGUGAUGUAUGAAACCUUCGUGCUCAACAUGGAGCGUGUAUGUCAGACUGUUGGUCUAGGGUGCAAGAGAGGGAGAUGGAAUUCCGGGUGUAGUGGUGAAAUGCGUAGAGAUCCGGAGGAACCCCAGAGGCGAAGGCGGUCUCCUGGCUUGUAACCGACGUUCAGACACGACAGCACGGGUAGCGAACGGG